rnacentral:rRNA from 1 species
CGGCGGACGGGUGAGUAACACGUGGGCAACCUGCCUAUAAGACUGGGAUAACUUCGGGAAACCGGAGCUAAUACCGGAUAAUAUAUGAGACCACAUGGUCUCAUAUUAAAAGAUGGCUUUUAGCUAUCACUUAUAGAUGGGCCCGCGGCGCAUUAGCUAGUUGGUGAGGUAAUGGCUCACCAAGGCGACGAUGCGUAGCCGACCUGAGAGGGUGAUCGGCCACACUGGGACUGAGACACGGCCCAGACUCCUACGGGAGGCAGCAGUAGGGAAUCUUCCGCAAUGGACGAAAGUCUGACGGAGCAACGCCGCGUGAGCGAAGAAGGUCUUCGGAUCGUAAAGCUCUGUUGUUAGGGAAGAACAAGUACCGUUCAAAUAGGGCGGUACCUUGACGGUACCUAACCAGAAAGCCACGGCUAG